rnacentral:rRNA from 1 species
ACGGAAGGCAGCAGUGGGGAAUAUUGGACAAUAGGGGAAACCCUGAUCCAGCGACGCCGCGUGAGUGAAGAAGUAUUUCGGUAUGUAAAGCUCUAUCAGCAGGGAAGAUAAUGACGGUACCUGACUAAGAAGCCCCGGCUAACUACGUGCCAGCAGCCGCGGUAAUACGUAGGGGGCAAGCGUUGUCCGGAAUUACUGGGCGUAAAGGGCACGCAGGCGGUCCGGUCAGUCAGGAGUGAAAGUUUGCAGCUUAACUGUAAAAGUGCUUUUGAUACUGCUGGACUUGAGUCUCGGAGAGGUAAGCGGAAUUCCUAGUGUAGUAGUGAAAUGCGUAGAGAUUAGGAAGAACACCGGCGGCGAAGGCGGCUUACUGGACGAGUACUGACGCUCAGGUGCGAAAGCGUGGGGAGCAAACAGGAUUAGAUACCCUGGUA